AUGUUGAACUAGUGAAUGUUGAACUAGUGAAUGAAGCAGCAAACCAGAACCACAAUGAUGAAGAUGAUGGUGAUGUUGAAGUUGAUGAGGUUCAAGAAGCCAUGGACAGGGCAAGAAUCAUUGAGAAGGUGGAAGUACAGGAACGACAGUGCCAUUGCAAAUGCAAGCUUUUUAAUGGAUGUCGAUGCAUUGAACAAUUUUCACAGAUUGGAAUCGAUGAAUUAAGGCUUGAUAAGUAUUCACCAUAUGAGAAAGAUCUUAUAAUACUUGGUGUGAUUUUGCAAAGCAUUUGCAUGUCUUGAGUAUGUAGAAUCUAAGAAGAAGCGUCGCACUAAAUGACAAUGCACACAAAUGAAGAUGUUUAUGUAUGAAGGGAAGCAAAUUUGCCUAUACACUUUCUUAUUUUUAUUUGGAAUCUGGAAAGAUCGUUGUGCUUUGAAGAGCCAUAAUGAGAAGAAUGGAUUAGUCCAAAGACGCAAGAAAUCAGAAGACGUGAGAAGCGAUCCUUUAGUCUUGAGGUUAUCAGGAAUGUGGUGAACUUGUUAAAUUAUGCCGAGAUUCACUCCUGGAGUCAAGAACUUCGAUGGAAUCAAACAUCCUCCUACACAUUGUUCCAAGG